UCUCAUAGUCUUUUUCCUCUUGAUAUUCAUCAUAUAUUUCAUAGAGUUCAUGCUUUUUUGAGCAUCUCUGGUCUGUGUACCGCUUUGACUGUUUGUAUAAUUUAUGUUUUUCAUUGUGUCGUUGAAUAUUUUUCAGACCUCGUGCAGCACGACUUCCCGGUUCAAUGGGAACCCCAGCCGCUUUACAGAGUUUAACGAUGGAUUCUCCAGGGCCAUUAUUUACAUUGUGUAUAGCUAAACAACAUUAGCACUGUGUUGCAUACUUGAAGUGGAAGGAGCUGGUAUAUUAGAACCAAGAAAUAAUUUCUGUAGACCAGUUGUGCUGAUAGCUAUGUGAUUAAGUGCGACUUGUAUGGAUAGAUUAAUAGCUGCUGUUCGACGACCACGUUUCUUAGCGACCACCUCAUUGUAAAGGUUGAACAUUUUUGAAUGGAGGACUGGAAGACAUUUGGGUGUUGAGUCAAAUUUAAUGGAAAAAUUCAGUGCGAUCCUGCAAUGUUUACACAUGGAGGCCAGUAAAACUUGAAAAUAUGCCGCACAGCUAUAUGUUUUUAUUGGUGCAAAAAAAAGUAGUGCAUGUCUCCUUUCCAGGGAAAUAUAACAUUCUCCUCAAAACUUCCUGAAUGAAGUGUGACUGCAUAUGCAUUUUAUGCAGUUCCUAUGGAAAAUUGCAUUGCUGGAUUUACACAAGUGCAACCUAUAGGUCAAAGUACGGUCUUCAACGCGCAGCCUUGGCUCACACCGAACAGCAAGCUAUAAAUGGCCCCAAAAAUUACUAGUGUAAAACCAUUCAAACGGGAAAACCAACGGUCUAAUCUAUAUAAAAAAAAAACUAGAAACACUUUUGAACCACAUCAACAAACGACAACUACUGAACACCAGAUUCCUGACUUAUGACAGGUGCAAACAAUUGCAGCGGGUUUAAACGUUUUAAGGGUACCAAUCCUUCACCCUUAUCUGAAACAAUAGUGUAACAUCACAACAUAGAAAGACACACAAUAAAAUAUCAAUUGAAAUGGUUUAACUUAAUCAAAAGACAUAUUAACACCAGUGAACAUACACUGAACAAAUUAAUUUUGUCUAUGAUACAAUGUAAAUACUAAAAUAAAUAAACUAAGGGAAGUUUAAUAAAAGUAACAUGUUAUACCGCUGUGAAAUGUUAAACAAUUUAAGAAAAACAAUAUGCUUGACAAAAAUAUCAGCCAUUUGCAAUAACUUUAAACACAGGUAAAUGAAAAUAAUUUUGUUGUUAGGUAUACGUGUACGGUUUAAAUGUUUACAUACUAAACAUUAAUAUUUGUGUACAUACGACUAUUUAUGGCACUCUCAACGGAGUUGGAGUGACAUAUAGUAAUUCUACGUUUCUUUUGUUUUAUUAUUAUUUUUCUUCCAAUUUUUUGUCUGCCUUAUAUCUCGGAAUUGUAUGGACCAAUUCUAAUGGAAUUAUACAAUAAUGUUAACAAGCAUGUACAGACAUUCAAUCGGGGAAUGGCAUUUUUAAGAUGGCUACUUUUCCCAUUGAAACUGCUAAAAUCGGGAAACAUUUCAAAAUUCUAAAUAUUUUAAUAUGAGACCAAACUGGAUGAAAUUUUAUGAAAAUGCUACCUGGUAUUCCUAGAUGUGCAGACAUUAAUUAGAAAUUCCAAAAUGGCCACCAUUGUUAUAGAAACAGGUAGAAAGUUUAAUAUUGAAGCAGUUUUUAAAGAAUAUUACAUCAAACCCAAUAAAAUUAUAUGGAUAUGAAAUAUGGCAUAUGCCAAUAUGGAAUCUGUCUUCGGAAUUGUGGAAAUGGUCAUCGUUACCAUGGAAACAGCAAAUGUGUUCUAAAUUUCAAAAUGUUCCAAACUUAAUAAAGAUUUACAUAAAUGUUAACUUGCAUGUGUAGAUGCGCUGCUUCAAUAUGAAAUUUUCAAAAUGGCUGCCGUUACCAAGGCAAUUAAGGGACGAGGGUGCUAUCCGCUUUUGCUCGCAAUUGCAAAUCUAGUUACAUUUACUUUUGUAUGAGAUAAUGACAGUAAACAAACAUGAUAAAAAACAAUUAAUCAAUUAAAUCUUCUUUUUUUGUUUUACUGAAAAGCAAAAAUAAUGCCAAAAUACUAAGCUUUACAAAAAUACCGUUUAUCUUGAGAAAAAAGUAUAUUGACACUAAAAUGUUG